GGCCAAGGAUCAAACCUGUAUUCUCGUGGAUACUAGUUGGGUUCUUAAUCUGCUGAGCCACAACAGGAGCUCCAUAUUCUUAAUUUUUAAAGGAAACUAUUUUUUCAUAGUGGCUGUAUCAAUUUACAGUCCCCCCAGGAGUGUUCCAGUUUUUCCACAUCCUGACCAAAAUUUGUUAAUUUUUCCCUUUUUGAUAAUAGCCACCCUAUUAGGUAUGAGGAGAUACCUCAUUAUGGUUUCAAUUUCCAUUUCUCUGAUUACUAGUGAUCUUGAGUACCUUUCCUCUUGGCCAUUUGUAUGCUUCUUCUUCUUUAUUUAUCCAUUCAUUCAUUUUUAACAACUGAAGUAUAGUUGAUUUACAAUGUUGUAUUAAUUUCAAUUGUACCCCAAAAUGAUUUAGCCAUAUAUAUGUAUGUGUGUGUGUAUAUACAUUUUUGAUUCUUUCCAUUAUACAUUUUUAUAAGAUACUGAAUAUAGUUCCCUGUGUUAUACAGUAGGUCCUUGUUGUUUAUCUGUUUUAUAUACAGUAGUGUGUAUCUAUUAAUCCUAAACUUCUAAUUUAUCCUUCUCUCCUUUGCUUUCCCUUUUGGUAGCCGUAGUUUGUUUUCUGUAUCUGUGACUCUAUUUCUGUUUUGUAAAUAAGUUCAUUUGUAUCACUUUUUUUUAGAUUCCACUUUGCCCAUUUCAAAGUUGGAUUUUUUGUUGUUGUUGUUGUUUUUUCUAUUGAGUUGAAUGAGUUUCUUACAUAUUUUGGCUAUUAGCCCUCUACUGAAUAUAUAGUUUGCAAAUAUUUUCUUCCAUUCCACAGGUUGCCUCUUCAUUGUGCUGAUAGUUUACUUUGCUGUGCAGAACAAUUGUUUUUUUGGUGUCAUAUUCAAAAAAUCAAUGCCAAUAUGAGUCAGGAAGCUUUUCCUCUGUGACUUCUAGGAAUUUUUCAGUUUUAAUUCAUAUGUUUAAGUCUUUACUUUGAAUUAAUUUUUGUGUAUAUUGUAAGAUAAAGGUUCGGUUUCAUUCUUUUGCAUGUGGAUAUCCAGUUUUCCUAACACCAUUUACUGAAGAGACUCUCCUUUUCCCAUUGACACAACUAACAGAAUGAUAUUCAUUGUUCAUGGCUUGGAAGAAUUAAUAUUAUUAAAAUAUCCAUAUGAUGCAAUGCUAUUUGCAGAUUCAAUAAAUUUCCUAUCAAAAUUCCAGUGGCAGUUUUCAUAGAAACAGAAAAGUAAUCCUAAAAUUUGAGUGGUGAUGAGGUACUCUAAAUAGUAUGGAAUAACAUCAAUAAGGAGACGGAGGUAGAAAAUUACAUUUAGUCAGUUUGGUUAAAUUAUAAAGGCUAAACUCAGCUACAUUUGGAAUCAUAAGAAUUUUUUGAAAAUGCUGCUUCUAGGGCUCUCUCCCUGAAAUUCUGAUACAGUUGUUCUAAAGGACAGCGUGGGUAUCAGGAUUUUCCAUAGUUCCCCAGAUACAUAAAAUGUGCGACCAAGAUAGAAAACUAUCAUUCUAGAUUAUAUAAAACUAAUUGAAAAAAAUUUUAAAUUAUAAGUUUGGAUCACAUGCUGAAAGAGAUUACAUAGAAGACUCUGAAAAUUGGGCUUUAUGAAUGGGAGAGUUUAUUAAGUAUUCUUUAAUCAAAUGGGUUUGGUUUCAAUCUUGGCUCUGCCAUGUGUUGUGAGCCCUUGGGUUUCUGAUUCUGCCUAGAGGGCAAGAUUUCCUCAGUGCCUAAAUCAAAACUUUAAUAAUAAAUGUUGCCCCUCAUGUAUAUACAAAAGUGAUCCUUCUGAGCCUUUAAUCAUGGAACCUGAACUCUGAGUUUGUUUUCUCAGUAUUGCAAUUCCUAAAUUUGUGCUGUUCUAGCUUACAUUCCUUGCUUGGUAGCCUUAUGACCAUCAUACAUUGGUAUGAGAUAGUUACCUGGGCUUCGAGGUGUCCUGAGUAGUUGUCAUGGGUACAGGUAUCUAGGCUGUAUUGAGGAGAGUCUACACUGAUGAACUACCACCUAAACUAAUCAUAUAAAGCUAUAUUGCCCUGUGUUAGGGAAGGACAGUGGCAGUAUUCGACUAAUAAAGCAUGAACAUACCCAUACUCAAUAUAGGUAAAGACCCUACAUUAUAAUACAUAACUUUAACUUUGUGUUUAAACCGAUAUUAUUAGUUAGACUCAAGUAGAAGAGACCAGGAUAAUGUAUGUAAAAUAAUGAAAUCAUAUGAUGCAUACUCAAAUGGCAUGAAGAGAGAUUCUAAUAACACUGGCCACAGUUGCUAAAAAAAAUGAGAAGAGAUGAGGGUUGGUGUCAGUGAAGGAAGUUUCACAAAGGCAGUACAACCCGAAGACCCAGUGUGAAGAUAAAAUUUAUUCAAAUGUAAGGGGGUUAGAAGAGUUAAUAUAUUUUACUGUGGAAACAACUGUUCUAUUUUUCUUCUUAUUUGCUUCCUUAAAAGGAUCCAGCCCAUUCUAGAAGAAUGUGCUUCACUGCACAUACCCCACCAACAGGGACAGAAUGCAAAUAUCUUCCCUUACCUCAGGGGAGUGUUUGAAAACACUCUCUUGGAAAGGCAACCAAUUUAUUUGGUUGCUAAUUAUUUUGGCUCUGGUUUUAAUAAGCCUUCUACUGUAAAAGAUAAAGAGAAUAGUAAGGCUUUUUACCCCUCCUUUUUUGGUAAAGUGAUUUAAAGGCUGUGGACAAGUACCAUGUAGUAGUUAAGAUCAUGGAUUGUGGUGCCAAAUUAUUUGUGUUUGUAUCCCUGCUUAUCGUGUGACCUUGAGAAAAUUUAUUAUGCAUAUUCUCUCUGUGCCCUAGAGUCCUCAUCCAUAAAACGAGAAUAAUAAUAGUACCUUUUCUUAAAUGGUCGUAACGAGGUUACUAUUAUUGUUGUUGUUAUUAUUUGUUGUCAUAUUAUGUUUGGCCUGGAUCCCUGAGAAUGGAUGGGGAGUGGAUGGUAUAGACAGAUGGGAUCACAGUCUUCUAAAUGAUUCCUGGGUAAUUGCCUAGGAAAUUGUGUGUAUGUAUGCAUGUGUGAAUGUGUGCAUACAUGUGUGUGCUGGGGAAGGAGAGCUGGAAAUGAGGCAAAGUCCUGCCUGGAUAGUCUUUUGAGCACGCUAGAGAAGGACUCUAUCAAGAACACUGUUUUGGUACCCAAGCAAUUGGAUUUCUCCCCUGCACCCAGCUGCCUUGUCUGUGUCUAAUGAAGAAUCUACUCUGCCUGUACCCAGGACCCAGCCAGUUGAUUCUGCAACCACUGAGAGAAGAAAUGGUACACAUCUGCUAUUUUUAAAGGUGUUUUCUCUACCAGUUGGGGGUGCAGCAGAAGUAUAGGCCAUUGGUAGCACAGGAAUUUGGUUUGUCUCCAAAUUAGUGUGGACAGCUAUCAAGUCUGCAAACCACACACAAAAUCCCCUAUAACACCUUCUCUAAAAGGGGAGCCUGGGCACUACAGAGUCAGUAUUGGGGUAAUUCCUCUAAACCUGUAUAUCUGGGGUCCCUGAAUCAGAUGUCUAAGUCUGAGACCCCCAACCUAGAAUAUUAUUUAAUGCCAUCUCCUGUUACGAAGGGCUGAGACUUAAAAUCAUAGAAGGACCCCUUUUUAAAGAACUGCUUGUUCUGUGGAAGGAGCCCCUCAGACAAGUGCUCUGGGGCAGUGCCACCCAGUGUGAUCCUUGACCACAGCAUUAGUGCCACUUGGGAGCUCAUGAGACAAGCAGAAUCUCAGGUUCCCUUCCAGAUCUGCUGGAUCAGAACCUCCCUCAACAAGGUCCCAGGAGACUUAGGUGUGCAUUAGAGUUUGAGCAGCUCUGGUGCCGUGGACUUAAAUGAGUCACACACCUUCUCUGGGUCCCUUGAGUCACAAAACACUGUGAAAGACUUUGGUUUAUCAUCUCCCAAAGUUCAAGAAAGUUCAAAGUUUCCUGGGAAAGCAGAGGUAAUGUUAAUAAGCAUGGCAAGUACAGCUAAACCUCUUCUUUGAAUUAGCCACUGAAGAAAUAUCCAAAAAAAUUCAUGCAAUUCUUCAUUUGGGUGCUUUUUAACCCUCAGAGCUCUUGAAGGGAGAAGUGCCUCUGGAAUGCAGCAUUGCCCUUAGAUCCUUCAGACACGGAGAUCAAAGGUGAGAGUCAUCAAAGUGUUUGUGGGCUCAAAAGCAAAAAGACAUCAGUUCUGAAAUACAAGAGUUGUGCUGAGGUGGUUUUUGUCCCUUUGUGUGUCCUUAUGAGGAAGAGUGCUUCUUGAGCCUUUGAACCCUAGAGUCCUGCCAGUUUGAGUGGAAGAGGUGGCAUUUUCCUUUAAGCUGCAGGUUGCCUUCUGUUCAGAUCCUCAAGCAUCAAGGUCAGGUCCCGUUCAGAAUAACUGAAUGUUAAUUGACUUGCUGGGAAUUAACGUGCAUUAUCUUGUUUAUACCAGUGUUCUGCUGGCAGUUUGUAAAUCAUUCUCUGGAGGGCUCUGACAUGGAUUUGAAGUUUAUUUCUGUUUUAUAGGAAUAGGGUUAAUCUCUAGCGAUGCUAGAGGGUUAGAGAAAUUAGAUAGGAUGAGGCGGUGGGGGCAGGGGACCUCUCCUUUGCACACUCCUGUAUCAUGAAUGAUCACCACAAUUGGCAGGGAUUGUGGAGACUAUGUUUACCUCCAGGUAAGAAGCAGACUGGCUCUAUAAUUAGGUUAACACUUUCCUGGGAGACUUUAUUUUGCUCUUUACCUUUUCCAAAUGGAUAUAGGCUCUUGCUUGCUUGAGCUUUCCCUUGGCAGCUAACCAACACACACAAUACACACGCACACACGCAUGCGUGCAGAGGCACAGACUGGCUGGCACACUCGUAAAGACCAUGCAAGGUGACCCCAGUGAUUUGUAUGGCUACCCCUUGCCAUGGUCCAUUUCUCAAUGAGUUGGGCAGUCUUCCAAAUACUCAGCAGCUCUCUAUGCAGUAAUCACUUUGACUUCAUUGAAACCCCAAGCAAGAGGUGUACAGUUCCCCUACAUAAUGCUCUAUUUUUGGUUUACAUUAACUGUAAUCCCACUGUUGCUUAUUUCUCUUGCUGCCAACCAAGUAAUUUUGGGGAAGUCACUGGGCUUCAGUUUCCUUAUGUAUACAAUUAAGUAACUUACCUUUUAGCUACAGCCUUGGUUUUAUGCCUUUUUCCUUGGUUUCAGGGAAUAAAACGGUUGCCAGCUCCCAGGCUACUCAUCUUAGACCUGAAGCCUGGAACUGCAGUGCUGUAUUGAAAACUGUAGUGGCCUUAGAGGGUUAGUUUAGAAUUCUGGAUCUGCCUCUGUCUUACUGUUCAUCUGACCUUAGGCAAAUCUCUUGGAUCUUCAAUUUCGUCAUCAGAAAAAUGGGGAUGAAUAUUCUGUCUUUCUUACCCUGCGGGGCUAUGAUGAGAGUGUGCUGAUCAGUACGGAGGCUGAUAAAUUGCUAGGUUUUUCUGAUCUGUCCUUUUAGUGAGGGAGGUGCCAUCAAACUGGUCCUAGUCCCUGAGUGUUCUGAGUUAGCCACCCUUGCAGGGCAGAAUUCUAUAGGGAUACCAUUCCUGGGCGACCCUCAGUACCAUCCAAGCAGUUUUUAGGGGAAAGAGUCAGACAUAUAAAAUGGACGUGAAGGCAGUUUUGAGAACCAGUGAUGUGAAGGCAAGGAAAUCUUACCAUUCUCUUGAUCUUCAAUCCUGAUCAUCGCUGUAUAUGCAAGGAUGUCCCUUCUCAUAUUUAAUGCCUGAGGUACAGUGCAGACAAGGAUGGAGUCUGUAGGGGACUGUCCUGCUGUCGUCUUAUUAAGCUUGACAAAUGUAGCUUCUAGUCUUGAUUCUUAAUUUUCUUGCCGAUAUGAUAAAUAGAAAUCAUCUGUGACACAACUGUUGGAAAUGAACUUCCUAAGAGCUAUACAUCUUUUGGGAACUCUUUCAACUUGAACUAUAUUUAGCCUCUCUAAGCCCUCUUUAAAGCACUAACUGGGGCACUGCAAUAUUAGGGGUUGAUAAAGGAAGAGGAGGUAGAGAGGAACAGCAUCAAUCUGUUUCUACUUAGACCAUUUUGCUACCUGUUAGAGUUGGUUUUGGAACUGACACCAGUUAGUUAAAUUCUGUGCCUAAGGAAUAGCUUUGGGAUGAGAACCUGGAGUUUAUGCAUAUGGCUUCACAAGCCACAAAGUCUUAGGCUUAGUCCUUCCCUUCACUCUUCCUCUGAUCCAGAUACACCUGUCUGGAAAUGAACUCGGCAACAUAGUUCAGAGCCUCGGUCCCAGGCUGGUACUAUUAAGGACUUUGGAGGAGGGGGAGGGAUAGAGAGAAAAAAUAACCCUAUCCAGAACUAUGAUUCAAAAUUAAAGAGGCAAAACAAAAUUCUCAGGAGGUGAGUGUUUUAUUUGUCUUAAUUCGUUUCACUUUAAUUUGUCAGUGAAAUGAGAUAAGAACAUCUGUUUCCUGCUCAAUAGGAGCCAUGUUCUUUCAGGUAAGAAUGAUAAUGUGGGGGGAAUACAUUUCUGCAGACUUGCCCUAAUCUAUUUCUGGGGUAAUGGACUUGCACAGUGGCCUCAAGUGCAGCUGUUAAUAGCUUCUUACAUCUUCCAGCAGAAAAGCACUAGAGCUGUUUUCAGAUAUAUGUUCACUUUGAGGAAAAGAACAACAGACCUUCUGU
rnacentral:lncRNA from 1 species